GAGAUGUUAGUAAAUAAAUUACAUAGUCUUGUCAAGACUAAAUUACAGGCAAUGACCCUGUACACCUCA
rnacentral:tRNA from 1 species